UACGAAGGGGGCUAGCGUUGCUCGGAAUCACUGGGCGUAAAGGGUGCGUAGGCGGGUCUUUAAGUCAGGGGUGAAAUCCUGGAGCUCAACUCCAGAACUGCCUUUGAUACUGGGGAUCUUGAGUCCGGGAGAGGUGAGUGGAACUGCGAGUGUAGAGGUGAAAUUCGUAGAUAUUCGCAAGAACACCAGUGGCGAAGGCGGCUCACUGGCCCGGAACUGACGCUGAGACGCGAAAGCGUGGGGAGCAAACAGG
rnacentral:rRNA from 1 species